GAGCGCGCAGCAGCGCCUCACGCGUCAGGAGCGAGUAUUUGGCCACAAACAAAUAAACAUUGCUACCAAAAACAGGAUUUUGACUGCAGUUACAUCAGAUGAACACACGGGGGCGGCCGAGCUCCAUUAUUCACCAGAACGAGAGGCAAUCUAUAGGUUUGCGGUCAGAUUUGUCCCAGCGCUCGAGAAUCACAGCUUUAUUAGGUCUACUUUUACAGUCUUCCCAGCUAACAAAUCCCCAAGAAGCAGACAUUGAGCUGAAGCAUGAAGAGAGCAGGUAGAUCUGGUGUGUCCUUCAAACCUUACUUUGCUGUCCCUGCCUGCAGAAAUUAGAGGAAUCGCCCAAAGUAGGUCAGUCCUCACUCUCCUGGGUCAAACACGCCUUCCUAUCUGCGCAGUACGCGCUCGACAUGAUAGCGUCAGCUGUGACAGCGGUCUGGAGCCUCGGGGUCCGGCAGUCGAGGGUUCCAGAUCCACUGCUGGUCAUCAGAGGGAUAAGAAGGCCGGUUCGCGACCUGUCAUAGCCACGGGCGAGUGAGAGUAGCUCAAAGCCUUUGCUUGGGAUUCUGGGAUUGAGAUGUACUGGUGAAGUCGCGUUUGCGAAUUAUUCUCAGAGAUGUUGAGGCCCCUGCAAAUUUCCCAGAAUAAAGCUGUCAUCGAAUCCUUGUCACCGCUGUCACAUGACCAGAGUCUGCAGAUGCUUAGUCAAUUAAUUGGCUGGUAAAUGAAUUUUCUGUGCACGCCAUAUGUUUAAAGUUGUCAUUUAAAGGGAACAUAUCAUGGAAAACAAGUGUUGAUACUGAUUUCACAUGCAAACAGUUAGCAAAUCAUAACUGAAGUUAUUCAAUCUUAAAGGUACAGUAGCAGAAACUGAUGCUCCGUCAUGGCAAAAUUUCACUGGAAAGACAAAUAUGUACUUGCAUUUGCGUUCACG